AACGAACGCUGGCGGCAGGCUUAACACAUGCAAGUCGAACGGUAACAGGCCGCAAGGUGCUGACGAGUGGCGAACGGGUGAGUAAUGCAUCGGAACGUGCCCAGUCGUGGGGGAUAACGCAGCGAAAGCUGUGCUAAUACCGCAUACGAUCUAUGGAUGAAAGCGGGGGACCGUAAGGCCUCGCGCGAUUGGAGCGGCCGAUGUCAGAUUAGGUAGUUGGGAGGGUAAAGGCCUACCAAGCCGACGAUCUGUAGCUGGUCUGAGAGGACGACCAGCCACACUGGGACUGAGACACGGCCCAGACUCCUACGGGAGGCAGCAGUGGGGAAUUUUGGACAAUGGGCGCAAGCCUGAUCCAGCAAUGCCGCGCGCAGGAAGAAGGCCUUCGGGUUGUAAACUGCUUUUGUACGGAACGAAACGGCCUGGGUUAAUACCCUGGGCUAAUGACGGUACCGUAAGAAUAAGCACCGGCUAACUACGUGCCAGCCGCCGCCGUAACAC
rnacentral:rRNA from 1 species